GGUUUCAUCUUUGAAGAGAGAGUUCAAGAGAACGUGAAAUCCUGCUGGUUGAACCGGAGAGAGUUGACGUAGCUCGGUGGCUAAGCUUAAUUCUCUGGAUGCCCACUUGCUGGGUGUUCGGGUUGCUAUGUCCGCUUAUAGCUGCGCUGGCAGCGUUGUCCGAGCUUUCUGACUUCAACCUGGCUAGUGUUGCCCACUUCGGUGGUGUCUUGCUGCCGGCGAAGUCUGCCGUGUUAACGUUUAACUUGCUUAAUUGCGAAUUCGGUGCCAGUGUGAAGGUCAGCCACCUUUCCGUCCCGUCUUGAAACACGGACCGAGGAGUGUAACUUGUACGCGAGUCAGAGCCUAAGCGGUGGUAAACCCAACGGCGAAAUGAAAGUAAAUGUCGAUUUAUCGGCUGACAUGGGAUCCGUGCUUUUGUGCGGCGCACCUUAUUAUGGCCCUGUCUUGAGAGCUUGCUCUUGGGCAGAGGUAGAGCGUAUACAGGUUGCGACCCGAAAGAUGGUGAACUAUACUUGCUUAGCAGGACGAAGCCAGAGGAAACUCUGGUGGAAGUCCGUAAAUCGGUUCUGACGUGCAAAUCGAUCGAUAGACUUGAGUAUAUUACGGGGGCGAAAGACUAAUCGAACCAUCUAUUCCUAGUUCCCCGCGGGGGAAAUUGGGGGUUCACAUAACACAAAAUCCAAACCCGCUCAACGGUACCUAGUUAGCUGGGUUCCUUUCCCAAAAA
rnacentral:rRNA from 1 species